UYCCGGUUGAUCCCGCCGGACCUGACUGCUAUCGGAUUGAUACUAAGCCAUGCGAGUCAUUGUAGCAAUACAAGGCAUACGGCUCAGUAACGCGUAGUCAACCUAACCUAUGGACGGGAAUAACCUCGGGAAACUGAGAAUAAUGCCCGAUAGAACAUUAUACCUGGAAUGGUUUAUGUUCCAAAUGAUUUAUCGCCGUAGGAUGGGACUGCGGCCUAUCAGUUUGUUGGUGAGGUAAUGGCCCACCAAGACUAUUACAGGUACGGGCUCUGAGAGGAGUAGCCCGGAGAUGGGUACUGAGACACGGACCCAGGCCCUAUGGGGCGCAGCAGGCGAGAAAACUUUGCAAUGUGCGAAAGCACGACAAGGUUAAUCCGAGUGAUUUCUGCUAAAGAAAUCUUUUGUUAGUCCUAGAAACACUAACGAAUAAGGGGUGGGCAAGUUCUGGUGUCAGCCGCCGCGGUAAAACCAGCACCUCAAGUGGUCAGGAUGAUUAUUGGGCCUAAAGCAUCCGUAGCCGGCUCUGUAAGUUUUCGGUUAAAUCUGUACGCUUAACGUACAGGCCGCCGGGAAUACUGCAAAGCUAGGGAGUGGGAGAAGUAGACGGUACUCGGUAGGAAGUGGUAAAAUGCUUUGAUCUAUCGAUGACCACCUGUGGCGAAGGCGGUCUACUAGAACACGUCCGACGGUGAGGGAUGAAAGCUGGGGGAGCAAACCGGAUUAGAUACCCGGGUAGUCCCAGCUGUAAACUAUGCAAACUCAGUGAUGCAUUGGCUUGUGGCCAAUGCAGUGCUGCAGGGAAGCCGUUAAGUUUGCCGCCUGGGAAGUACGUACGCAAGUAUGAAACUUAAAGGAAUUGGCGGGGGAGCACCACAAGGGGUGAAGCCUGCGGUUCAAUUGGAGUCAACGCCGGA
rnacentral:rRNA from 1 species